CGGGGUGUAGCGCAGCCUGGUAGCGCACCUGCUUUGGGAGCAGGGAGUCGGAGGUUCAAAUCCUCUCACCCCGA
rnacentral:tRNA from 1 species